rnacentral:rRNA from 1 species
GGGUCAGUAGGUUGGUCGUGCCACCGGUACGUACUGGUCUCACUGAUUCCUCCUUCCUGAAGAACCGUAAUGCCAUUAAUUUGGUGUUGCGGGGAAACAGGACUGUUACUUUGAGAAAAUUAGAGUGUUUUAAGCAAGCUAACGCUUGAAUACAUUAGCAUGGAAUAAUGAAAUAGGACGAUCGAUCCUAUUUUGUUGGUUUCUAGGAUUGACGUA